rnacentral:lncRNA from 1 species
CGUUAGGUAUUUUCCUUCUCUAUCACAUGCUGGGCUCUCCCUCAGAUGUUUUUCCUAACUUUUCUAUUGCUUUUCCUAUUCUCAGGAGUCUCAAUCGGGUGGGCGGCUUAGGAUUUUUUUUGUUUUUGCAGCAAUGAUGGAGGAAUCAGACAGGAUGCCAUUGUGGGUUCUAAACUCUCCCUAUAGAUUUUUUUUGUUCACCACAAUGAUGGAGGCAUUGAAGAGGAUGCCAUUGUGGGUUCUGAACUAU